rnacentral:rRNA from 1 species
UACGUAGGGGGCAAGCGUUAUCCGGAUUUACUGGGUGUAAAGGGAGCGCAGACGGCAGUGCAAGUCUGGAGUGAAAGCCCGGGGCCCAACCCCGGAACUGCUCUGGAAACUGUGCGGCUAGAGUACUGGAGGGGCAGGCGGAAUUCCUAGUGUAGCGGUGAAAUGCGUAGAUAUUAGGAGGAGCACCAGUGGCGAAGGCGGCCUGCUGGACAGUAACUGACGUUGAGGCUCGAAAGCGUGGGGAGCAAACAGG